rnacentral:rRNA from 1 species
CUUAUUGAGAGUUUGAUCCUGGCUCAGGAUGAAUGCUGGCGGCGUGUCUAAGGCAUGCAAGUCGAACGGUUCGUUUUUUGUAGCAAUACUUGAGACGAAUAGUGGCAAACGGGUGCGUAACACAUUGGUAACCUGCCCCGCAGUCGAGAAUAUUCCCCAAUGGGCGAAAGCCUGAGGGAGCGACGCCGCGUGUGGGAU